AAUAUAUCAUAUAAGAAAUCCACAUCAGCUUUGGUAGUUUGGGAAUGGUAACAGGAUUUAAAUAUUGAACGUUCUGUGAUGUAACAGGGUUUCUGUUGAUGCUCAGGUUCUUAUAUACCAAAUUUGAUGCAAUUUUGGCACUGCAAUACUGUUUGUCAGUUUCUUUAUUAGGUCCCCGAUGACCUAGACUUGGGAGGGAUGGAUUUCUUGCAAUUUGGCGGGAUGGGUGGCGACGAUGCAGUGGGUGAUGAUUUUGAUGACAGUGAUGAUGAGUGGCAAGAAGUGUCGAAGCCUGAAAAAGAAGAGGAUGAUGAUAAGGAGGGACGUUCUGCUGUUGGAAAAGAAGCAAACAAGAGCACCGUUGAAGAAGCUACUCCGAGCACAUAAUGGCUUUGCAGUUCAUGAUCGUACACUUGGAAAAAUGCUUUUGGGUCUGUUGUUAACAGUUUUAAUAGCAUUUCCAAUGGACAGAUUUCAUGGUUAUUUCCAAGAGAAAUUGAAAAUAGGAGACCCCCUUGAAUGUGGUGAAGUUCGGAAUUAACUCGGUGAACAUAUGGAUGUAUGAAGUCAUGGUGCUUUAGCUUGAAUGUAUUAACACUCAAAUCUUGAUGAUAGACAUGAUUUGUUUGUAAGAGAAGAAACUCCUAUCCAUUUGUCCAAAGACAGCAUAGGACCAAGCUAUAGACCCAAGCUGACCCCUACUUAAAGUAGGUAAAUUUGAGGCCUCAUUUCGAUCAACAGAUUCGACACUGAUUUGUUUGUGAUUAUUGGAUAAUUUUUCACCUGUAAAACCACUUGAUUGGCUAUGAUCUUCGAAGAGUUUGUCUAACGAAUCAAAUACAGUGUCAGCUGGCUCAUAUAGUGAUGCAAAAGCCCAUAAAAGCUGUGACAGUUCUUGUCCUUUGAAGGUAUGAAUUAUUUUAGAAGCCCUUUUCGACAAUUCAGUGAAAAGAUCGGGAGGUUUCUCACCGCAGGUGUGGCUUAGGAAGUGAGUCUUCUUUAUGUCAUUGAAGCUGAAGUAACUGCUCUGAAGGAAGCAUUCUAAAAUGCCAUCUCUCUAUAUUGAUUGUCA